rnacentral:tRNA from 1 species
GGGGCUGUAGCUUAAUUGGUUAAAGCGCUCGAGCUUGACACCCGAGAGAUACGGGUUCAACUCCCGUCAGCUCCA